rnacentral:rRNA from 1 species
CAUGCAGUCGAGCGAGAAAGUCCCGGCAACGGGAUGAGUAAAGCGGCGAACGGGUGAGUAACGCGUGAGUAAUCUACCCUCUAGUCUGGGAUAACCCUCCGAAAGGGGAGCUAAUACCGGAUGAUGUCUUCUUGGGGCAUCUCAAGAAGAGCAAAGGGGGCGCCCGCAAGGGGCUCUCGCUGGAGGAGGAACUUGCGUCCGAUUAGCUAGUUGGUGAGGUAACGGCUCACCAAGGCGACGAUCGGUAGCCGGCCUGAGAGGGUGAUCGGCCACACUGGGACUGAGAUACGGCCCAGACUCCUACGGGAGGCAGCAGUGGGGAAUCUUGCGCAAUGGGCGAAAGCCUGACGCAGCGACGCCGCGUGGGGGACGAAGGCCUUCGGGUUGUAAACCCCUGUCAGGCGGAACGAAUCCCCUGAGGACGAACAAUCCUUGGGGUUGACGGUACCGCCAGAGGAAGCCCCGGCUAACUACGUGCCAGCAGCCGCGGUAAUACGUAGGGGGCGAGCGUUGCUCGGAUUUACUGGGCGUAAAGAGCGCGUAGGCGGCCAGGUAAGUCCGGUGUGAAAUUCCUCGGCUCAACCGAGGACCCGCAUUGGAAACUACUUGGCUUGAGUCCAGGAG